UACGUAGGUGGCGAGCGUUGUCCGGAUUUACUGGGCGUAAAGGGAGCGUAGGCGGACUUUUAAGUGAGAUGUGUAAUACUCGGGCUCAACUUGAGUGCUGCAUUUCAAACUGGAAGUCUAGAGUGCAGGAGAGGAGGGUGGAAUUCCAUGUGUAGCGGUGAAAUGCGUAGAUAUAUGGAGGAACACCGGUGGCGAAAGCGGCUCUCUGGCCUGUAACUGACACUGAGGCUCGAAAGCGUGGGGAGCAAACAGG
rnacentral:rRNA from 1 species